rnacentral:rRNA from 1 species
UGAGGAAUAUUGGGCAAUGCCCGCAAGGGUGACCCAGCAACGCCGCGUGAAGGAUGAAAGCCGUAAGGUUGUAAACUUCUGUUAGAGGGGAAGAAUAACUAUAAUUAAAAUUUAUAGCUUGACUGUACCCUCAGAGAAAGCCCCGGCUAACUACGUGCCAGCAGCCGCGGUAAUACGUAGGGGGCAAGCGUUGUCCGGAUUUACUGGGUGUAAAGGGCGCGUAGGCGGAUUUUUAAGUCAGAGGUGAAAGCCUGCAGCUUAACUGCAGAACUGCCUUUGAUACUAUUAAUCUUGAGUACGGAAGAGAGAGACGGAAUUCCAGGUGUAGUGGUGAAAUACGUAGAUAUCUGGAAGAACACCAGUUGCGAAGGCGGUCUCUUGGUCCGAAACUGACGCUGAGGCGCGAAAGCGUGGGUAGCAAACA